rnacentral:lncRNA from 1 species
CCCGUGCCGCCCGCAGGACCUUCUGGCCCUUGCAAUCCUUGAGGCCCGUCUUGUCCCGGCGCGCCGGCGGGGCCACGUUCGCCUGCAGGACCUGCCGGACCUCUGGGUCCAACGUCGCCUUGAGGUCCUUCCGGUCCCGGUGCGCCGGGCGGACCCGGCUGGCCUGGCAGACCCGGCGGUCCGCGCUCGCCGCUGGGCCCAACCAAACCAAUCGGUCCGGGCGGGCCAACCGGUCCACUCGGUCCGGGCGCUCCAUCUCGACCGGGCGACGGCACGACGCUUGCGGCAAACGGGGGAGGGGCCAAAGGCAAAGACGACAAAGGAAACUCGUCGAUAUGCACGUGGACCUCGACCGGUGAUCCUGCGGCUGCGGGCUCUGCGCGACGACGGCGUGCGGCUUGUGGCACCAUCUUUAGAUUACAAGGGGUCGCCGCGCGCGAUCCGCGCCUCAUUCAGAAGCGACCCUGACGAGGACGGCGCGCCCGGGCUGGCCCGAUGCCGCCUCGGGCGCAAACGGAUUGAUGCCGCCCGGACCUCCCUCGACGUUAAAGGUAAUGGUCGACGCCACCGUGUUGGCCACGAGGACGACCAAACCGCCGCCACCGCCGCCGCUGCUGCCCGCCGCACUGGUGCCGGUAAACUCGCCGACGGAUCCAGACCCGCCGCGCGCACGCAAGAGGCCCGUGCCGAUCACCUCGCGCGCGGCGACGACGACCACGCCGGCACCGCCGCC